AUUAUGGAGCAUAUUUUCAAGGCAUUGUAGGAAGCAUUAUAAAAUGUCUGUUCUUUGUUGAUUGGUAUAGAUGCCAAAUGGAUACAUAGAUAUAUACUGUUUCUAAUGCUUGAGUAACCGUUCUCAAUCAUCCAGCUUCUAUCCAUUUUAAAAACUCCAACUGUGUGUGUGUGAGAGAGAGAACUUACAGAAGGAUUUUGUAUUUUUUGUGUUAUUACAAAACACAUAGGAUAAAUAGCUUUUCAUAAAAUAUAAAGUUAAAUACUAUGAGAUAUAUUUUUAAUUGUGAACAGUUGUAAACAAUGGAUAUAAAGAGAGUAUACCCUAGAAUGAAGAGAUUCUAUGCAUCUACCGAAAUUAAAUAUAGCACUAUAGCCCCCUAGUAGUCCUUGGGGUGUUGCAUGUUAUUAUUGCACAUCAGAAAUUAAGAAAAUUGGUAGCAAAGAAAGUAGAAACAUAAGUCAGGUCAACUGGCUGAUGAAAUAAGGGGCUGAUCUGUCUUUUCACAAUUGUCACAACUCUCAAGAACUGUGAAAUAAAUCACAAUGCUUUAUGCCCAGUGUGAAUACAUGUGUAAGUCAAUCCAUCACCAAGAUAGUUUCAAGACAAAUUAACGUCAUACUAAAAGCAGUCAGGUACCACACAAUUGAUUUGUUGUUUUAAAAUUUAUUAUGUGCAUGAAAUAUGCAUAUUUUUCUAAUCACAAUGCUUAAAUGUAGCAAUCUUUUCUCAGAAUAUUAGUCAACUUGAGAAAUUUUUAUUAAAUAAAAUCGCUGACCUUAUUGGGAAAUCAAGAGCCACAAAAGAAAUUAUACUAUUGCAUUCAAUAUUACCAAAAUUUGUAAUUUCAAGGGUAAUUUUUUAUUUAUUAUCUUUCUCACUGAAUUUUUAGAGUUUUAGAGAUGAAUAAUAGAAAACAGUGUUGAAAUGUUAAUAAUCUUAGGCCUAUAUAUCUAAGAAUACAUCAUAUAGGGUAUUUUUUCCCCUAAAAAUAGGAUCUACUUAAUCUUCAAAUUUUAUUGAAGACAAGGUUUUGAAAGAGAGAAAUCAUAAUAUAAUUACAUCCUAAUCAUAAAUUAUUUUGGUGUUAUGAUUAACUAUAAAAUAAGAUUUAUUUAAAAAUUUAGGAUAAGUAAAUUUGUAUUUCCCAUUCAAUUUCAACUCCUUCUGAAUAUUUAAGCAAAUUUUAAAUCAGCUGUUAUUUUUGUUCCUAGAUAGAAAUAGCUAAAAUAUUUUUAUAAAUAUCUUGUUUUUUAAAUGUGUAUAAGGUAAUAUAAACAUAUCAAUUUGAUGAUAUCUAUACCAAUAUCCUCAGAAAUGAAAGAAAAAAAAUAGGAUAAUCUGAGAACUAGAUUAUUUUUUAUCCACUGGAUGUUUUCCCUUCAUUAGACACUUAAUUGGUCCUCUGCUUUAGAAAAUAUAACAUGAAAUUAUUUCUUAGUAUUUUCCCAACUGCUUUCAAGAAAAAAAUAAUAGGAUGUCAGUUUUUCUAGGAGGUAAUUUUGAGAUAGAAGGAGAGCUUUCCUCUCAGAAUCCCAUAAUUAUUGACCUAAACAUCAAUAAUUAUCCUAAAAAUACUUCUGAAUGAAAGUACUCUGAUUUCCUAAAAUAGAUCAUUGCUUGGAUUUUCUUCCCUAGAAAUAUCAAUGGAGUUUUAGGAGUAAAGAAGAUGAAUCACAUGUUGAUUUGAUCACUGCCUCCUUAGGAGAGAGUCCACUCUGGAGAUGGAUCCUGUCUUUUAGAGAAUGCAAGAAAAACAGAUCAUGCAGUAGCAGAUGGUGCUUAGGAAUUUAGAGAAGGUGAAGUCAUCUCUUUGGCAUACCCCAUCGGUAACCAUGUCAACUGCUUAUCCUGCAGCCCCUCCGUUUGGUGCCUCCCAGCAUCCAGCAUAGACAGUGAUCCAACACAGGAUGUCAUUUAGCUGCAAGAAAAGAUACUUAUUGAACUGUCGCUAAAUUCCAGGCACUAUUCUAGCCAUUCAUGAUGCAACAGUGAAGAGGGUAAAGCCCCUGUGGAGCUUGCAUUCUAUGUAAAGGAGACUAAAAUUCAUCUUACAGCGUAAUUUUAAACAGAAGAGUAAUGGAUAAGACACAAUACUUUGGAAAAGUGACUUUGACUUCAGUAUGGAGGAUAUAACAGGUAGGAGUAAGAACAAGGAAUUAGCAGGCUAUUGCUUCAGAAUACAUUUAUUUAAGUGUUAAGUUUGGGUUUUUAUAUAGUUUUAUCUUCAUGUUUUUGAGUCAGAAGUUUGUUUUCAGACAUUAAAUAUUUGUACACUCCCUUGAAAAUUCAUAAACAGCAGCACUAUGCCUACAAUGUCUACUGGAUAGAAUAGUUCUUGUCAUCAAUAUGUUACUGCCUCCGUAAGGUAUCAUGUAAAGUAAUCUGAGCAGGAUGAAUUAAUGAAUGAAAAGACUUGGGAAGCUUACACAUGUGGUAUGUUGACCAGAAAAGUAGGCUAGGUUUGAGUGGAUGAAUAAUUUUCCAGGAAAAAAUCAGUUGUUAUUUGAUGGCCAUUCUUUACCAGGCACUGUUGGGCAUUAAACAACUGAACAUAGAGCAAGAAACAAAAAUGACCUGGAAAUUGACCUCAUUAAGCUUUUUAUUUAGCCAGCCAAAUAUCAAUGAACAAAUGUUCCAUCAGUUGGGAGAAAGUUUUUUGUUUUUUAAAGAAGAGUGGUAUCUAUUCACAUAUUAAGGGGUAAUUCAUCAUUCAACAUUUAAUUAUUAAUCAUCUACUAUGUUUCAAAGCAAAUAUUAAUGCCAGAUAAUCAGGCUUCAAAGGGAUGAAAUGUUUAUAUUUGGUGAUAAUGCUGAAAAUUAUUUUAACUGUCUCCACAAAAGUGUAUAAAGAAGUAAAUAAUGUCUGGUAAACUGAGAAAAAACUAGAUAUUACAUGGUAGCAACAUUAAUGCAAUUUCUAGACUCUGUAACUGAUUUUGCCUUGGUACUAGUGAUGAAAAUGGGACUUCUAAAAUCAAUAUCUUUUAUUAUUUUGAAUGACUAACAUACAUGUAUCUAGCAUUUUGAACAAUAUCUAUUUAUCUAUUUAUU